rnacentral:rRNA from 1 species
UGCUAGUCGAACGACCCGGACUAUGGCGGGAAGUGGCAGACUGCUCAGUCAACACGUAGCUAACCUACCCUUGGGACGGGUAAAACCCCGGGAAACUGAGGUUAAUACCCGAUAGGUGUGGAAUCCUGGAAUGGUACCACGCCCAAAUGUAAAUGCAUCCAUGUUUGCGUGCACGCCCGAGGAUGGGGCUGCGGCCGAUCAGGCAGUUGGUGAGGUAACGGCUCACCAAACCUUUGACCGGUACGGGCCAUGAGAGUGGUAGCCCGGAGAUGGGCACUGAGACAAGGGCCCAGGCCCUACGGGGCGCAGCAGGCGCGAAACCUCCACAAUUCACGAAAGUGAGAUGGGGUUACCUCGAGUGCCGCCUGAAGAAGGCGGCUUUUCCAUUGUGUAAUGAGCCGUGGGAAUAAGAGGGGGGCAAGACUGGUGUCAGCCGCCGCGGUAACACCAGCCCCCCGAGUGGUGGGGAUGUUUAUUUGGCCUAAAACGUCCGUAGCCAGCUAGGUAAAUCUCUCGUUAAAUCCAGCGUCCUAAGCGUUGGGCUGCGAGAGAGACUGCCAAGCUAGAGGGUGGGAGAGGUCAGCGGUAUUUCUGGGGUAGGGGCGAAAUCCAUUGAUCCCAGGAGGACCACC